rnacentral:rRNA from 1 species
AGUGAACGCUGGCGGUAGGCCUAACACAUGCGAGUCGAACGGCAGCACAGUAAGAGCUUGCUCUUACGGGUGGCGAGUGGCGGACGGGUGAGGAAUACAUCGGAAUCUACUUUUUCGUGGGGGAUAACGUAGGGAAACUUACGCUAAUACCGCAUACGACCUACGGGUGAAAGCAGGGGAUCUUCGGACCUUGCGCGAUUGAAUGAGCCGAUGUCGGAUUAGCUAGUUGGCGGGGUAAAGGCCCACCAAGGCGACGAUCCGUAGCUGGUCUGAGAGGAUGAUCAGCCACACUGGAACUGAGCCACGGUCCAGACUCCUACGGGAGGCAGCAGUGGGGACUAUUGGACAAUGGGCGCAAGCCUGAUCCAGCCAUACCGCGUGGGUGAAGAAGGCCUUCGGGUUGUAAAACCCUUUUGUUGAGAAAGAAAAGCAGCAGGUUAAUACCCCGCUGUUCUGACGGUACCCAAAGAAUAAGCACCGGCUAACUUCGUG